AUAAUACUAUAGUAUACGUAUGUCAAUAAAUCACUGGAUCAGUCUGAUCCAGUGAUUUACUGACAUAAGUAUACUAUAGUAUUAUCUUUUG